rnacentral:lncRNA from 1 species
UCUCUAGAAUUGGACUUUCUCUCUCUAAAAUUUUCUCUCUCCUCCUUUCUCUCUCUAAAAAGCCCUAUGGAUCUCCUAUUAGGCCAUCUUUUCCAUUCCUAGGGACCUAUGACCUUGAAUCAAUUUAGAGCCAAAAGGAGAGAUUUGUUGGACUGAUCAUCAAGUCAGUCAUCUUCUUAUAUUAUGUAAUUUUAUUAAAUAUAUGAAAUAAAAUUUAAUGAUGAUUUAAUAUUUUAAAUAGGACUG